rnacentral:SRP_RNA from 1 species
GCUGGGCGUGGUGGCGUGCGCCUGUAAUCUCAGCUACUCGGAAGGCUGAGGCAGCAGAAUCGCUUGAACCCAGGAGGCAGAGACUGCAAUGAGAUGCGAUUGUGCCACUGCACUCCAGCUUGGGUGACAGAGCGAGACUCUGUUUCAAAAAAAAAAAAAAAGGACAGAACUGUUUUUAGCAAAUUUUAUUUUUUUCAUUUUUUAAAUUUAUUAUUGUUAUUAUUAUUAUUAUUUUUGAGACUGAGUCUCGCUGUGUCGCCCAGGCUGGAGUGCAGUGGCACAAUCGCAUCUCAUUGCAGUCUCUGCCUCCUGGGUUCAAGCGAUUCUGCUGCCUCAGC